UUUACAUCCUUCUAUUCACGUUUAAUCACUUUUUUAGAAUUUCACAUUUAUUCAUAAAAUUAAACUUUUAUUAUGGUCAAUGAUUACAAUUGAAUAAAAUUGGCAGGCUCCUAAAUACUUUUAAAAUCACAGUUUUUAUAGUUGACUAUGCGGUAUGGGCAUUGCUCAUUGUUGAAGACCGUACGAUGACGGUAUAGUUGUUAAUUUCUGUGGCAUGUUGUCUCUUGUUGAGAGUUGUCUCAUUGGAUUUAUACAUAUCUUCUUUUUUUAUGUUGUCAGAAAACAAAACCAAAAUCUUAUAAAGGAAUAUGCUAAAGGAUGCUUUUGGUCAGAGAGAGAAACUAGACCAUAUUUUGAAAUUUUUGGAUUUUGCAAAAACGAUUGAAUUAAUAGCGAGAGGACUGGACAUAUUACCUAUGCGUAAUUUCAUUGGUAAAUAACUAUAUAUAUUUUCACCAAAUCAUGACGCUUGCGGGGUACAUAAAAUAUCGCAC
rnacentral:lncRNA from 1 species